rnacentral:rRNA from 1 species
AGGUGCUGCACGGCUGUCGUCAGCUCGUGUCGUGAGAUGUUGGGUUAAGUCCCGCAACGAGCGCAACCCUCGUCACUAGUUACUAACAGUUAGGCUGAGGACUCUAGUGAGACUGCCUUCGUAAGGAGGAGGAAGGUGAGGACGACGUCAAGUCGUCAUGGCCCUUACGGCUAGGGCAACACACGUGCUACAAUGGUUAGGACAGUGAGAAGCGAUACCGCGAGGUGGAGCCAAUCUAUAAACCUAAUCUCAGUUCGGAUUGUAGUCUGCAACUCGACUACAUGAAGCUGGAAUCACUAGUAAUCGUAGAUCAGCUAUGCUACGGUGAAUACGUUCCCGGGUCUUGUACUCACCGCCCGUCACACCAUGGGAGUUGAUUUCACCCGAAGCGGGGAAGCUAAACUGGCUACCCUCCACGGUGGAAUUAGCGACUGGGGUGAAGUCGUAACAAGGUA